UGGGGAAUUUUGGACAAUGGGCGCAAGCCUGAUCAGCCAUGCCGCGUGCGGGAAGAAGGCCUUCGGGUUGUAAACCGCUUUUGUCAGGGAAGAAAUCUUCUGAGUUAAUACCUCAGGAGGAUGACGGUACCUGAAGAAUAAGCACCGGCUAACUACGUGCCAGCAGCCGCGGUAAUACGUAGGGUGCAAGCGUUAAUCGGAAUUACUGGGCGUAAAGCGUGCGCAGGCGGUUUUGUAAGACAGAGGUGAAAUCCCCGGGCUCAACCUGGGAACUGCCUUUGUGACUGCAAGGCUUGAGUGCGGCAGAGGGGGAUGGAAUUCCGCGUGUAGCAGUGAAAUGCGUAGAUAUGCGGAGGAACACCGAUGGCGAAGGCAAUCCCCUGGGCCUGCACUGACGCUCAUGCACGAAAGCGUGGGGAGCAAAACAGGAUUAGAUACCCUGGUAGUCCACGCCCUAAACGAUGUCAACUGGUUGUUGGGAAGGUUCCUUCUCAGUAACGUAGCUAACGCGUGAAGUUGACCGCCUGGGGAGUACGGCCGCAAGGUUG
rnacentral:rRNA from 1 species